rnacentral:rRNA from 1 species
UACAGGGGGGGCAAGCGUUGUUCGGAAUUACUGGGCGUAAAGAGCGCGCAGGCGGCUGGUCAAGUCCGAUGUGAAAUCUCCCGGCUUAACUGGGAAACUGCAUCGGAAACUGAUCGGCUUGAAGGUGGGAGAGGGUAGUGGAAUUCCCGGUGUAGUGGUGAAAUGCGUAGAUAUCGGGAGGAACACCAGUGGCGAAGGCGACUACCUGGCCCAUUCUUGACGCUGAGGCGCGAAAGCUAGGGGAGCGAACGGG